rnacentral:lncRNA from 1 species
CUUUACAACGUUCAAUUUCAAUAAUUAUAUCUCGAACGAUUCAUCGAGAAAUUUUAAAACACCGUCCAAGUAUAUCUAAUUUUCCAAAAAUCACGGAUCCUUUAUUCGUUAAUUUGUCAAACAACUCGUAUUCCAAAAAAAGUGCGUCUUUUUAUCAACCAGAGACUCGCUCUUUGCCAUCACAAGUUUUCCACGACAAAACGACCAACACGAGAAGAAACACGUUCUCAUCCUCUCGUUUAUAGUAACGUAAAAAGUACUUUCGGUCCCGAAAAGAGAAGAGAGAGAGAGAGAGAGAGAGAGAGAGAUGGUAGGAAGAAAAGUAAAAAAAAAAAAUAAAGAAAAGAAAAAGAACGACAGUCUGCUUUUCUUCUUCUCGCGAUAUAUCACAUUUGUCUCGUGUGAAAAGUUUGUCACGAAACGCACUAAUUUUAUUUAUUUAUUUAUUUAUUUAUUUAUUAUUUACGAUGUUUCGCGCUUUUAACAUUAUACAAACGAACGAUUAUGAACGAUUACCUCGCGAUUCGAGACAAUUUAUUUAAUUUAUCACGCACAAUUAUCGCUUAUUAUUGCUUACUCAUCGUUUUGAAUCACAGAGACUCGGCGUGAACGAGAGAAACUUUGCUAAAUCGACGAGAUUGCGGCGGAAAUUGGUAAUUUGUUUGAUAUUCAUUUUGAUCGUGAUGAAAAAUUGAUGGAAAGAAAUAAAAAUUACGAAAUCGAGAUAUAUUUAUGUUUAAUUCUAUGCUUACCACUUUUAUGUUGAAAUUUAGGUUAUGCCAGUUUCAUAGAUUCAUUAUCAAAGCAAAUUUAAAUCAAUAAAAUUCUCAUUAUCAUUCGAAACUUCGCUGCUCUGUUCCAGCUUUUCGCUGAAAUGAAAAAGACUUUUUAUGAAAUUUGUUUCCAUUCAUCAUAUUCUCAUUUUAAAAUGCAAAUAAUGUACGGUUUUUAAUCAAAAAAUUGAUAUCGUGGUUACAGAUUUUACAUUAAUUUGUCUCUCUCGUAACAAUCUCAAAUGUAGUUUUCAAACUUUGGCGAAAUUACGACAUUCCGUUUUAACUUAAUGAAAAAUAUUGUUUUAUAAAAAUAAAUAAUUUUCAAUCUCUCAUUUGUUCUAAUCAGAUAAUGAGAAAAGAUACAAGAAUUCUAUAAAUUAAUGAAGCACGAAAUAAAAGAUAUGUUUAAAAGGUGAGCCAAUUAUCAAAUUACUUCUUCCACCGCAAUCACGAUUCACGAUCAACAUUUCCAUCGAUAUUGUUGCAUUGAUAGAAUUUACUAGAAUUUACAAUCCUAGCAUCCUCUCGACCUCUUUUCGAAUUAGGAUUCUCUUUUAAAACAUUCAAAUAACUUUCGAUCCUUCUCCUCUUCGAAAACUUAAAUUUUCCCUUUCAUUUAAUCAAAAGGAUCGAUCGAAGACGAAUCGAUCUUAAUAACAAUUGUUCGAUCUUCCAAAAAAUUCUUUGAAGAUUCGUUGGAAACUAUUGUAUUAGUAGAGAAAUCGGAAAUAGAAGACUCGAAUUCGACGCAUAUAGCGAAAUUAAACCUUGAUUUAAUAAAAUAUUAUUCCAGAGAUAUAAUAUCAAAACUGUCUAAAACCGUUCGUUCUGAACCGUAGUUAGAUGUAUUUAUAGAAUUUUAAUUUUUCGAAUAUUAAAAAUAAAAAUUUAGAUAUUUAGUUAGCAAAAGAAAACACUAAUGUUAUUUACAUUACAAAAUAAAUGGAUAUAUGGAGUUUCGAUGCUUAUAUCUCUGAUUUUGUAUAUUCGAAUUCUAAGAAUCGAAGCGCACUUGCUUUUCUUUUCUCAAUUUUCCCGGUUUAUUGAAUUUCGCUCGCACCAGUUCUCAUUACCUAGAUCCGAGUGAUGUCUCUAAUUAGAGCUGACAAUCAUCCGUAUUGGGAGGCCUGUUGCGCAUAUCGAUUCUUUUCCACGUUUCCAAUUCCGUCAUUAUAAAAGAGAAUUAUAUCUAACGAUUCGAUUUUCUCGUUUGUAUGAUUUUUGUUCCUUUUUUACAUUUUUCAUAAAUGAAUUUAUUUGACUAAGAUUCGUGAAUUUAUUUCGCUCGUGGAUUUUGCAUUGUCGUUUAAUUUUUAUCGGUUGUUUUUUUUUUUUUUUUAAAAGUUAUAGAAGAUUGAGGUCAAAUUUAACUAUGGAAAUGAAAAUAAAUUUAAAUAGGAAUACUUGAGGGUAGGUAAUUAUUUACAAGAAGAGUACGGAUCAACGAUUUUAUAAUAUAUUUCGCGAUAUUCGAACAACUUUUCUCUAUAUUAUAUACGCUCGGUUAUUAAUUAAUUUUAAUUUUGGAAAUAUCAAUAAAAAUAUUCCUUUAAAAUACAAUAAAAUAUAAUUUUCAAAAGUUUUAGCCGUUAUCCAUUGUUUAUUAAAAAAUUAGUAAUAAAAAUGUUUUUCACAACAUUGUGCAACUUUCCGAUAUUUAACACGUUAAAAUGGAUUUGGAUUUGGAUUAGGUUACGUUAUAAUAUUGUUUCGUUUGCUUUUCCUUUAAUUCAAUUACCUUUAUCGUUUAUUAUUCAAAUCUAAUUUAAACUUUAAUCAAACUAAAACUAAGUUUUAAAAAUUAAUCUUCCAAAAAAAAAAUAUAUUAAACACAUAUGUAUAUAAUAUUAUGAAAUCACGUUGAAAAGAUUUUUGUGAUAUAAAAUGUUAUAUCUCUUCAAUCGGUGAGAUGUCUCUUCGUAAAUAAUUACCUACAUAUUUAAAAAAAAAAACGUGUCAUAGGCGAUAAAAAUUUGAUAAACAUUUGGAAAAUCAAUUUCUCCGAAAAAAUAUUUUAAAAUAUUACAUUUAUAGGAAAGUAGGUCAUCCUCGAUACAGUGACGUGCAAAAUUUAAUCGAAUAAAUUUUUUAGGGAAUUCAUGAUUAAAUUAAUCAUUUUUAUCUUAUCUGACUUGACCGAGCAUGUAUACUUUUUUUGAAAAUUUUAAAUUAAAUUGUUCACUCAGAUAUAUUUAAAUCUUCCAGAUGUAUCUAUUAUUGUUAGAUGUUAAUAGCAAUUUUUCUAUUUUGAUAAUUUUUUAAUUAAAUAAUCGAUAGAAGGUAGCAUAAAAAUUCUAAUUGCUUGAUUUUUUUUUUUUUUUUUUUUUUACUUCUUUGUUUCUAUAGAACACGUGAUAGUGAUACAAGAACAUUUUUGGUCGGCAGUGCAUUUUUAUUACGUUAGUUUUAUUAAGUUAUUGAGAAUUGAGAAGACAUGUUUUUAUUAUUGAGGUAUAUGUUGAUACAAAAAAAAAAUGCUUUAUUAAAAAAUUUGUAAUUUUAUAAACUCCUACACGUAUAAAAUUUAUUAUAAAAAAGAAUAGCUUUUUUUUCUAAGCAUUACAUUGUUUUGUUAAAGCGAAGAUUAAUGGACAAGUUUUAAGAGCAAUAUUUUUUGGCACGUCACUGUAUACUGAUUUAUAUUGAAAUAGUUUUGGAAUGAAAAAUAUAUUUUGUAAUAUAAAUAGAAUAUUUUUUUUUAAUGAAUAAAGUGUCCACUUUGUACACUUAAUAUAUGGAAUACGAAUGUGAUAAUAAUCAGUGACAAUGUAAAUUAUUUGGCAUUACGCGUAUUGCAUAAUAGGAUAUUUAUGGCAAUGAAUUUAUUUUUGUUUACUUAUAUUAUUACAUUACUUUUAAUAAA